UGUUUGAUGUUCUAACGUGGACCCGUGAUCCGGGUUGCGGACAGUGUCUGGUGGGUAGUUUGACUGGGGCGGUCUCCUCCUAAAGAGUAACGGAGGAGCACGAAGGUUGGCUAAUCCUGGUCGGACAUCAGGAGGUUAGUGCAAUGGCAUAAGCCAGCUUGACUGCGAGCGUGACGGCGCGAGCAGGUGCGAAAGCAGGUCAUAGUGAUCCGGUGGUUCUGAAUGGAAGGGCCAUCGCUCAACGGAUAAAAGGUACUCCGGGGAUAACAGGCUGAUACCGCCCAAGAGUUCAUAUCGACGGCGGUGUUUGGCACCUCGAUGUCGGCUCAUCACAUCCUGGGGCUGAAGUAGGUCCCAAGGGUAUGGCUGUUCGCCAUUUAAAGUGGUACGCGAGCUGGGUUUAGAACGUCGUGAGACAGUUCGGUCCCUAUCUGCCGUGGGCGCUGGAGAACUGAGGGGGGCUGCUCCUAGUACGAGAGGACCGG
rnacentral:rRNA from 2 species